AUGCCUGUUCGAGCGUCAUUUCAACCCUCAAGCCCUCGGGUUUGGUGUUGGGGAUCGGCGAGCCCUUGCGGCAAGCCGGCCCCGAAAUCUAGUGGCGGUCUCGCUGCAGCCUCCAUUGCGUAG
rnacentral:rRNA from 1 species